GGCAGCAGUCGAGAAUCUCCGCAAUGGACGAAAGUCUGACGGAGCGACGCCGCGUGGAGGAAGAAGGCCCUCGGGUUGUAAACUCCUGUCAGGGUUUAAGAACGCGGCCGUGGCUAAUACCCACGGUUGUUGACAAAGGACCCAAAGGAAGCCAUAGCUAACUUGUGCCAGCAGCUGCGGUAAGACGAAGGUGGCAAGCGUUGUUCGGAUUCACUGGGCAUAAAGGGCGUGUAGGCGGUAUGGCAAGCGGCGUGUGAAAUCCCGGGGCUCAACCCCGGAACUGCACGCCGAACUGCCGUACUAGAGGACAGGAGGGGGAUGUGGAACUCUAGGUGUAGCGGUGAAAUGCGUAGAUAUCUAGAGGAACGCCGGUGGCGAAAGCGACAUCCUGGCCUGUAUCUGACGCUGAGGCGCGAAAGCGUGGGUAGCAAACAGGAUUAGAUACCCUGGUAGUCCACGCCGUAAACGAUGAGCACUAGGUAGCCGCGGGAACCGACCCGUGGCUGCUGAAGGUAAUCCAUUAAGUGCUCCGCCUGGGGAGUACGGUCGCAAGGCUGAAACUCAAAUGAAUUGACGG
rnacentral:rRNA from 1 species